ensembl:lncRNA
UUUUUUUUUUUUUUUGUAAAUUAACCAAUACAGUUGACUUUGCCUGACAGAAGUAUGUCACAGAGGUCAUUCAACUUGACGCUUCAGUAAUGUCGCAUCAAAGUAUGUCCUUUAUGAGAAAAAUCACUGAUUUUUCUAUGGAGUUUGUCUUUCCACUUUCAGCGUUGCCAUAUCUGAGGAGCUCUGCAGGCUGCAGGAAGCAGUGGAACAACCCAGAAAAACUGUCCACCUCCUGGGGACACCCAGCAGUGUUUGGGACAUUCAUUUAGGCCUUUCACUGACUUGAGUGAUUUUUCUAACCGGAAAACUAGAGCAAGUGUUUUUCAUCGACAGCCAGGUUCCAGGAAAACCUCUCCAUAGCCUCAUGGUGGUGUAUCAGCAGCUCUGCAAGGUCAUUUACCCCGCAACACUCACGGUCAGGCUCCAAAUUUGAGUUAAGGCGGUGGUGGACACGUGACCUUAGCUGACAUGCACCGUUCUCUAAAUGAUUUGCAAGAAUAUUUCUUCUAAAUAUUUUAUAUUUGCUUUUGAAUAGCUAAUUCGCAUGCAGCGUUUAAACAAUUAAAAAUACAUUAAAAGGAAUGUAGUAAAAAGAUGCCUCCAAAUGCCUGCUCCCCAUCGACAGGUUAUCAUUGCCAAGGAUUGUUUUCUUUAAUUAGAGUAGAGUUGAUGAGCUGUGUUGGCGUGGAUGUUUGAUGUCUCCCUCCAAAGUAGGAAUGCGGACAAAGAAAGGCAAGCAGGUGGCCUUACUUUCUCCACUGUUAGCACCAAAAGGGAAGCUCUUAUUUACAUUGUUCCUCAUCUCGCUACUUCAAAUAAUGCCAUAGCUUGGGCAUCCUUCCAUGUCAAUGCAUAGAAAGUUCCCUUAUUUGCAAAUGCCGCCCCACUUCUCCACAUGAGGGCUCAGGGAGAAGAUGGGGUCUAUGAACCAGAAAGUGGGUCCUCACCAGCCACCACCAAGUCUACUUGCUGGUACCUUGAUCUUGGAUUUCCAGCCUCUCCAGACCUGUGAGAAAUAAAUGUCUGUUGAUAAGCCACCCAUUCUGUGGUGUCCUGUUACAGCAGCACAGAUGGAAUAAAGCCAUCUUUUAUAUUCAUGUUUUAAAGUUUUCUCUACCUGAAUCUUGCACAUGCGGUGUUCAUUCCUAUUUUUUUCCUUGUGUUGCUAUUAUAAAAGGGGACUUUGUGAGUUUUUGUUGUGGCUCCAUGGUAACGAACCCAACUAGUACCCAUGAGGUUGUGGGUUUGAUCCCUGGCCCCGCUGAGUGGGUUAAAGAUCUGGUGAGGCUGUGAGCUGGGGUGUAGGUCCCAGAUGAGGCUCUGCUGUGGCUGUGGUGGAGGCCAGCGGCUGCACCUCCAGUUCGGUCUCUAGCCUGGAAACUUUCAUCUGCUGUGGGUGUGGCCCUAAAAAAAUUAAAAGAGCAUGUUGCUUCCAUGAUAUCUUUCUUCUAACUGGAUACUAUUCAUAGUUAUGAACCAUUGCGUACUUUCUUACUUGAGUAAUUCUCUUAUAUUUUGAAAAGUUAAUUAAUUGAUUCACUUUAGUUCUUCAAAUAUUCGGGGUUAUGGUCUUCCGCAUAGAAGGGUGGUUGUAUGUUUUCUGUUCCGUUUUUAAAUCUCAGUUCUUUCUUUUGUCAAAUUUCAUACCUACUCCCUCAGUGAAAUAGUAAAUAGUAAUGAUAUUGGUGGGCAUCUUUGAUUUGAUUCUGAUAUUUAAUGGGAAGACGCUAGUGCUGGCUUUUGAACCAGAUAUGAGUAUUUUACCACAUCGAAGUAGUAUUCCUGCAUCCCAACUUUACCGAUGAUUUCCACCAAGAAUGGUUAUUGAAUUUUUAAAAAUGUUAUUUGAGAGACUAUGUAAAUAACUGUAAGAUUUUUCUACUAAUAUGAUAAAUUGUAUUAGCCUUCCUCCUAUCUAAUCACCCUUGAAUUCUAGGCUAGGCCUAACGUGACUGUAAUUCUUUUAAUGUGUUGCUGAAUUCCAUUAGUUAGUAUUUUAUUUAUGGUUUUGGAAUUACUAUUUAUAAAGAAGGUUUGUUGAUAGGGUUUUUAAAUUUUUUUGUCACAUUUUUGUAUUAAUAUUACCUUUGCUUUAAAAAUAAUUUGGAGAGGUUUUUUUGAUGUCCUGCAAUAAUUUCUAGAACAUUGAAAUUCUCUGCUCUUUAGUUUUGGUAGAACUUCCCUGUGAACCUGUCUCGCUCUUCGUCAUCUCUCUGAUUUUUCUAUGAAAGUAAGUCUUUUCAGAUAUUCUCUGUCUCAUCUGGUGUCAACUUUGGUGAAUUACACUUUCCGGGGAAAUUAUCCAUUUUUUCCCGGUACUGAAAUCCUUUUCAGAGUUGAGCUAAGUGGUCUCGUAUUGUUCUUUCAUUUUCUCUGUUUCUUAUCUUCCGUAUUGAAUGUUUACCCUUUGUAAAAUGUAGCUUUUCCAGGAGUGCAUAUUUUUUAUAGUUUUUAAAAUUUAUUUAUUGACAUGACAGCUUUUCUGUUUUUUAACUCAUUAAAUUCUUUAUAAGCCUUUAAUAGACUUUAUUAAAACCUAGCAUGGUAGGUCUCUUUCUAAUGUUUUGAGUGUUUUUCAUCAUUUUGACAUAUGUUCUUACUGUUAUGAAGACUUUAUCGUGCACUGCUUUAGCUAUUCUUCAUACAGUCUCAUAGGCAGUGUUUUUGUUAUCAUAUUUUAGACUAGUACUCGCCACUAGAAAGUUCGGUGACAGUGGGAAUUUUCUACAUCUGCAAUGUCCAGGGUGAUAACGAUUAGCCUUCUGGAGCUGUUGAGGGGUUAAGAUGCGGCUUGAGUGUGUGAGGAAGACUCAAUUUUUUAAAUUCAUUUUUUAUUAAAGUAUAGCUGACUUACAAAUGUUGUGCCCAUUUCCUUUCUUAUAUUAUCUUCCAUCAUGGUCUUUCUCAAGAGAGUUGAUAGAAUUCCCUGUGCUAUACAGUAGGACCUCACUGCUUAUCCAUUCUAAAUGUCAUAGUUUGCCCCAAAACUCCAAACUCCCAGUCUAUCCCACUCCCUCCCCCUCCCCCUUGGCAACCACAAGUCUGUUCUCCGUGUGUGUCAAUCUGUUUCUAUUUUGGGUGGAUAGGUUCAUUUGUGCCAUAUUUUCUAUUCUACAUAUAUGUGAUACCAUACGGUGUUUGUCUUUCUCGUUCUGACUUCCUUCGCUUAGUAUGAUAAUCUCUAGUUGCAUCCAUGUUGCUGCAAAUGCCAUUAUUUCAUUCUUUUUUAUGGCCGAGUAGUAUUCCCUUGUACAGAUGUACUACAUCUUCUUAAUCCAUUCCUCUGUCAAUGGACAUUUAGGUUAUUUCUGUGUCUUGGCUCUUGUGACUACUGCUGCUGCAAACAUAGGGAGGCACGCCACUUUUUGAAUUACAGUUUUGUCUGAGAAACUCAGUGUUUAAUUUAAUUUAAUUUUCAGCAGCCACCUAUAGGUGGUGUCAACCCUAGGCAGAACCUCUCUAGACAUUUUAUCAUUUUCAUUUGUAUUUCUUCUUUGAUGCAAUAAUUAUAGGGUUUAUAGAAUUAUUCAAGACAUAAGUGUUUUAAAAAUUAUGUUCAGAUUUAAAGACUAUUUUGUUAUUAACCCCUGGUUUUGCUGCGUCGUGAGCAGAAAACAUUACUUGUACUAUGUACGCUAGAGGACUUAUUUAGGAUUUCUUCGAGGCCCUUGAGUAAUCUACUUUUACGAGAGGCCAGGGCCAUUUUACAAAGGUGUGAAUUCUCUCUUCUCAGGAUAGAAGGUUAGGUAAAUAUCCACCUGCCACAUAACAUUUAAAACGUCCAUAUUCACAGUUUUUGGCGCUUAACUGAGACAAAUGAAAGAGAAGAACUGAGAUUUCUUACGAUUCGUUUGUUUCUGUUUUCCUCUCCCUGUGUCUCCUUUCCUCUGCCUCGUGCACGCCACGACGUACAGUUGGCACAGGAGGAUACAUUUUCACUGUGAGGUUACAAGCUAGUGUUGCGAAGUGUCUUUCUCUGUCUUAUUCUGGCCUGACUUCCUCCUGGUCUGAUAUUAAAGUUUGUGAUCCUGCUUCCUAUUCGAUUACAUUGGCCGAGUCUCUCUCUACCCAUUCUUUGACUUUCAUUCUUUCUGAAUAAACAGUUGCUUGUAUCUAGUAUAGCAUUGUGUUGGUUUUAUAAUCCAACCUGAAGCCUUUUUUUUUUUUUUUUAGGGCCACAGGUGUGGCACAUGGAAGUUUGCAGGUUGGGGGUCAAAUCGGAACAACAGAUGCCAGCCACAGCCACAGCCACAGCCACACAGGAUCUGAGCCUUGUCUGAGACCUACGCUAGUUCUUGGCAACCCCGGCUCCCUAACCCACUGAGCGGGACCAAGGAUCAAACCCACAUCCUCAUCGAUACUGUCAGGUUUUUUCCCCUGAGCCACAGUGGGAACUCCCGAAGUCUUUUAUCUUAAUAGACAGGUUGAACUUAGUCAUGUUUAUGAAUGUAAUAGAGACGUACAACCUGAGGUCCACUUGUUAUUUUCUGUUUAUGAGUUUAUAUAUAUUUUUAAAGGUCUUUUCCUCUUCCUCUCUCUGUGAGUACUGCUUUCAACAUGUACAGAGAUUUAAACAUUGUUUCAUGUCGAUGGUUGGUUGCUGGUGUCAUUGAACUUGGUUACUUAAUCAGGGGACCUGUUCUGAUCUUGAGUUUCAUCUCCUCUUCACUUUCAAGGACCCAACUUCAGUGAGUAUUACCUUUCUUAGUACUUGACUAUACUUUUCCAUAUUCUAACGCUUAUAUUUCCUGGUUCGUGAAUUGUAAAUUAUAUUUUUUUUCUUUUUGUCUUUUUUUUUUUUUUUUACGGUUGCACCUGCAGGGUAUGGAAGUUCCCAGGCUAGGGGUGGAAUUGGAGCUGUAGCCGCCAGCCUACUCCACAGCCACAGCAAUGCCAGAUCCGAGCCACAUCUGUGACCUACACCACAGCUCACAGCAAUGCCAGAUCCUUAACCCACUGAGCAAGGCCAGGGAUCAAACCUGCGU